GGCGGCGUGCUUAACACAUGCAAGUCGAACGAAGAGCGACGGAAGCUUGCUUCUAUCAAUCUUAGUGGCGAACGGGUGAGUAACGCGUAAUCAACCUGCCCUUCAGAGGGGGACAACAGUUGGAAACGACUGCUAAUACCGCAUACGAUCUAAUCUCGGCAUCGAGGAUAGAUGAAAGGUGGCCUCUACAUGUAAGCUAUCACUGAAGGAGGGGAUUGCGUCUGAUUAGCUAGUUGGAGGGGUAACGGCCCACCAAGGCGAUGAUCAGUAGCCGGUCUGAGAGGAUGAACGGCCACAUUGGGACUGAGACACGGCCCAGACUCCUACGGGAGGCAGCAGUGGGGAAUCUUCCGCAAUGGACGAAAGUCUGACGGAGCAACGCCGCGUGAGUGAUGACGGCCUUCGGGUUGUAAAGCUCUGUUAAUCGGGACGAAAGGCCUUCUUGCAAAUAGUGAGAAGGAAUGACG
rnacentral:rRNA from 1 species